UACUCGAGUGGCGAACGGGUGAGUAACACGUGGGUGAUCUGCCCUGCACUUCGGGAUAAGCUUGGGAAACUGGGUCUAAUACCGGAUAGGAACCAUCUUUAGUGUGGUGGUUGGAAAGUUUUUUCGGUGUAGGAUGAGCUCGCGGCCUAUCAGCUUGUUGGUGGGGUAAUGGUCUACCAAGGCGGCGACGGGUAGCCGGCCUGAGAGGGUGUACGGCCACAUUGGGACUGAGAUACGGCCCAG
rnacentral:rRNA from 1 species